GUAGGUGGCAAGCGUUGUCCGGAAUUAUUGGGCGUAAAGCGCGCGCAGGCGGUUCUUUAAGUCUGAUGUGAAAGCCAACGGCUCAACCGUGGAGGGUCAUUGGAAACUGGAGAACUUGAGUACAGAAGAGGAAAGCGGAAUUCCACGUGUAGCGGUGAAAUGCGUAGAGAUGUGGAGGAACACCAGUGGCGAAGGCGGCUUUCUGGUCUGUAACUGACGCUGAGGCGCGAAAGCGUGGGGAGCAAACAGGAUUAGAUACCCUGGUAGUCCACGCCGUAAACGAUGAGUGCUAAGUGUUAGGGGGGUUUCCGCCCCCCUUAGUGCUGCAGCUAACGCAUUAAGCACUCCGCCUGGGAGUACGGCCGCAAGGCUG
rnacentral:rRNA from 1 species